GCUCCGAGGGAGCCGGCGCCGGUGAGCGGGGUCCCGGGGCGAGGCCCCGCGGGUUCCUGGGAUUGGCGACGUUGGUGCUCCCGGCGCGCCAGUGGAGGGCGGGAGCCCGACGGAGGAGUGUGGGCUGCGGGGCAGAUGUCAUGUGGCCUGUGCUUUGGACCGUGGUGCGUACCUAUGCUCCCUAUGUCACAUUCCCUGUGGCCUUUGUGGUCGGGGCUGUGGGCUACCACCUGGAAUGGUUCAUCAGAGGGAAGGAUCCCCAGCCUGUGGAGGAGGAGAAGAGCAUCUCAGAGCGCCGGGAGGACCGCAAGCUGGAUGAGCUGCUAGGCAAGGACCACACCCAGGUGGUGAGCCUUAAGGACAAGCUGGAAUUUGCCCCUAAAGCUGUCCUGAACAGAAACCGACCGGAGAAGAAUUAACGAAGGACACAGGGCCCUAUGGGUCCUUCAGUGGGCCUUGUCUGGCCCUGCCACCAUGUCGACCCAGCUCUAGAACCCACAUCUGAUUUGCUUUAUUGCUUCUGGCCCCUCUCGCCCCACACAGCCACACACUCUGGCUGCUCUGCUGCGGCCAGGCAGACGCGCUGGUAGCUGAGGGGCCAGUGAAGAGGAAGGCUCACGAGGGUUCUGACCUGAAAGUUGCAUCUGCUGGUUGGUGGCCACCGCUGCUCAGGCUUCUGCGCUGCUGGGUGCACCACUGGGAGGAGUUAUGAGAUGAACACUGGCUCUCAGUCCCUUCGGGGAAGCAGUUCGGCCCCAAGGGGGAGUGGCUGGGAUUGGGGGUUGUCUUUAGGAGGGAUACCUACAUGUCUAGUUCCAGUUCGCACUGGGAGGAGGUCACAGAUCUGCCUGGCUUGCCCUGUCCUUUGUGCUCAUUCUCCCUCCAGUCCUGGCCUAGCACUCAGGCAGGGAUUCCCCUGGGAAGGAAAGCCCUUUUGUUCUUGGGAGCCCAGGCUGUUCACCUUGGGGCAUGUGACUUCGCUUGAAAACAGUCACUACCUUUCACCCCCCCAUCACUGUUCAGAGCAAAACUUGAUUAAAGUGGUGUCUGAGAACCAUAUUGAUCUAAUCCUAUCUUCCAGGUGGUGUUGGGGUCUCCUUAGAGUUAUGCAAGUGCAGGUGACUCCAGGUAGGAAAACGCUGGCCUUUAACUGAGUAAGGACUUCGGGGCCAUAGAAACUUUGUUUUACUAACAUGGUUGUACUGGGUCCCAGAGGCACCCGUUCCCAAGAGCCUUUUUAUCAUGAUAACAAGAGGCUUAUAGGACCUUUCAAAGUCUAAAUUAGAGGAGCCCAGGAAGCUGAACAAUUGUUGUCAGUUUACCAAUUUCAUGCACGUACGUAUACACACAUAUAGUUUUCCCGGUGAAAGUAGUAUUUGUACAUUAAAGAACAUUUGGUAGGGAUUUAAAAAAAAUGGUUACCCAAGAGAUCCCUCCAUUGCAUAGUGGGUUAAUAAUCCGGCUCAUCUCAUGGUGUUGCUAGGUCAAUGCCUGAUGCAGUGGUUUAAGGAUCUGGUGUUGCAGCUGUAGCCUAGGUUGUAGAUGUGGCUCGGAUUUGAUCCUGUGGCCCAGGAACUUUAUAUGCUGUGGGUGCAGCCAAAAAUGGGGAAAACAAAAACAAAAAACCCAAACAGAUAGUUAUCCACACUCUGAGGGCCCAUUUACAGCUAAAAAGCUCACAUUUUGGUAUCUUUCACUAAUUCUUGACCUAGUUUUUUGCUUUCUUUCUGAUGGUUAUCAUUACUGUACAUUUAAUUUUAUAUUCUUUUUUCACAUGGUGUUUCACAUCGUAAUCAUUUUCUCAUUUUAUCACAUGGUCUUCAUAGUCCUCAUUGUUUCAACAGCUGUAUAAUUGCCCAUUGAGUGGGAACAUAGCAUAGGUUUUUUGUUUUUUGUUUUUGGCUGUGCUCACGACAUGUGGAAGUUCCCGGGCUAGGGACUGAAUCCACGCCACAGCAGUGACAAUGCCAGAUCCUUAACCCACUGAGCCACCAGGGGACUCGGCAUGGCUUGUUUUUUAAGUUUCCCUGUUGUUAGACAUUUGGAUUGUUUCUGGUUCACUAGAAGAAAUACCACAAAGAGUAUCUUAUAUAAGGAUUCUCCUGCAGUUUGGACUAAAUGGUAGGAACAGUAAAUGGCGUUUUGGAUGAAAUGAGAUGAACAGUUUUAAGGGUCUCGGUGCCUAACACUAAAUGUCUUUCCAAGGGGCUAUAAGAGCUUAUACUAAAUGCUGCCACUUAAGAGUUGUUGGGGAGUUUGGAAGUGGUGAGAGCAGAGAGUGGACCUAUUGCCUGAUGAAGGCGGCUGACCUUUAACCUGAAUGAGCAAAGGCAGGCAAUGAACAUUUGAUGAAGAACAAACUGCUUUAAAAUGGGGGAGGGUGUGUACCCUGCUUCUGACCUCAGGAUCUGGGGUGGGUGAAGAUGGGAUUCCUGAACAGGUAGAGAUGCUGGCUGUGCAGUGGGAGGAGCUAGGGGACAGGGAAGGAGGUAGCCAGAGAUGCAGGGUCAAGUUGAGUUGGUAGCUUCCCCUCAGUUGCGGAGGCCUAGUGGGCAUGUAGAGAUGAGUUGCUGUUGCCUCUCAGGGAAUAAAUCUGAUGGGGAGUGUGGAGCAGCAGUGUCUGCUACCGAAGUAGUGAUGAGGUUUCUGAUUUUGAAAGGAUAUAUUGAGCUCAGCUUGGUCACUUGGUUUUUGAGCUCAGGCUGACGCAGGCCUUAUCGGCAGCCCAGUGCUGCCCCCCUGUGGCAGUCCUGAGUAUGGUCAAGCCUGGGAUCCCUCCGCAGGGCCAAACUGCUAGUAGCAAACUCCCAUGCCUGGAGGGGUUCAGUAAGGUGGCUUAAGAGAGCAGGCCAGGCCAGGAGCUAGGAAGCACAGGCCUGCCUAAAGGGGGCAGUGGCUAUGCAGCUUCUUCCAGUUUGUGCUCCUUGCCUAGAAACACCAGUUUUUCUUUUUUCCCUCUUGAAGAUACUAGACAUUCAGAUUUUUGUGGAUUUUAUUUAUUUAUUUUGGUGUGGAAACUUCCGAUUUUUAAAAGUUGACAGUUUACUUAAAAAAAAAAUUGGAGGAGUUCCCGUCGUGGCGCAGUGAUUAACGAAUCCGACUAGGAACCAUGAGGUUGCGGGUUCGGUCCCUGCCCUUGCUCAGUGGGUUAACGAUCCGACGUUGCCGUGAGCUGUGGUGUAGGUUGCAGACUCGGCUCGGAUCCCGAGUUGCUGUGGCUCUGGUGUAGGCCGGUGGCUACAGCUCCGAUUCAUCCCCUAGCUUGGGAACCUCCAUAUGCCGCGGGAGCGGCCCAACAAAUAGCAACAACAACAACAACAAAAAAAGACAAAAGACAAAAAAAAAAUUGGAGUUCCCUUGUGGUGCAGUGGUGCUGCGGCUUGCAUUGCUGCUGUGGCUCAGGUUCGAUCCUUGGCCUGGGAACUACUUCAUGCUGCUGAUGCAGCGAAAAACAAUAACAAUAGUAAUAAUAAAAAUUCUAAGCAUGCUAACAUACCUAUAGAGGUAAUUUGACCCAGUGGCUGUCAAUUUGCCACCUGUCAAGCUGCCCCUGGCCUUCUAAUGAAAUCUGAGAGAUCUGCAUAGUUUUUAAGCAAUCAAACAACUGUGGCAAAGAUUAGAUCCCAGGACUGGUUUCUUUUGAAACACCUGAGCAUCCUGUGCAUAUGUAGUCUAAUAUCAGCCUAAGCAAAACAUUAGAGGGCAGAAAACCUACAGAAAUAACCCAAAAAAGUUUUCCCACAGACUAAGACAUUUUUGGAUUUUCAGCUAUUUUAGAAUAAGCCUGUCACUGCUGCUGUACUCCUCCCAGUGCCUGGCAGAGGAUGCCCUAUCUUUGGAAAUCCAAGUUGCCCCAUUUUUCCAGUCUCACUUUGUGUCCCCUUUAAAUAAUUUUAUUUCCUAGGGCUUGCCCUCACUGAAUGUCUGCCUCCGGCAAGUCUAUUAAUAUUCUCAGUGGCUUUUCUUUCCCAAGGGCUGGCUGAGCCCUGCUUCUGCUGUGGGGCUGUGAGAUAGUGCACGCUUUCUUGUCUCUGCUCCGGAGACCUCAGGUAGCAGGGCUUCUGAGGCUGUGGCAAAGGCAGGCCAGGCUUGCUGAAACAAACCCAGGCACGGACCAGUUUGCUUCCAUAGCUGCUGAUUCACCUUGGAGGCAUGUGACCCUCUUUGGGAUCAGCCCAACAGUCACAUUAACACUGAGAUGUGCUUGGGGCUUUUUGCUUGGCACUCACCCCCACCCCAUCUCUUCUCGGCCUGAUGCUGGCGGUCAGAGCCUGUUAUCCUAUCUGAGCACGGCAGGAAUCACUUCUCUGCCCUCAGCCGCCCCGUGUCUGGUGCUUUUCCACUCUCUCCUGAGCCUUUCCUGUGCCUGUUGCUGUGUUAGCACAAGUCAGCUGGGCAGCUGCCAGGACAAGCCUUCUAGGGGGCCCUUUGACUGCUGUCAGCUUCCCAGGGCCCUGGGCUGGUGAGGCCGCCAGCAGAGCAAAAAACUCCAUGGGAUUAGCCUCCCCAGAGUCACUUGAGGGCCAGGCAGUGGAAACAAAAAGGCUUAUGCCUUUUGCCUUACUUUUCUUUUUCCCCUCAGGUCUCUAGGCACUUGUCGAGUGGGGAGCCGGGGCUGUGUGGUAGAGUAAAAAUAAAGUGGGUGCUAGAGGCUGGCAGACUUGUGAGUACUGCUUCCACAGGUAGCUGAGUGACUUUGGGCAGGUCACAUAGCCUUUCCGAGCCUCAGUUAUCCUCAUUCGUAAAACUGGGAUAAGAAUACCUUCUUUUUUUGUUUGGUUUUUUUUUUUUUUUUUGGUCUUUUUAGGGCCACACCUGCAGUAUGUGGAGGUUCCCAGGCUAGGGGUCGAAUCGAAGCUGCAGCUGCUGGCCUGGACCACAGCCACAGCAAUGCUAGAUCCCAGCAAUGCCUGCGACCUGUGCUGCAGCUCAAGGCAGUGCUGGAUCCUUAAUCUACUGAGUGAGGUUAGGGCUCGAACCCACAUCCUCAUGGAUGCUAGUCGGAUUCUUAACCUGCUGAGCCACAGUGGGAACUCAAGAAUACCUGUUUUUUGCUGGGUUGUUGCAAAGCUAAGGUAACAUGUAAAGUUCUCAGCAGAGUCCAUGGCAGCAAGUAGGUGCCCAAUAAGUGUGUUGGCUGCUUUAGUUUUAUUGUAGGAAAAAGUUGCAUGUAACCCUGUGAUCCUGGGGAGGUAGGGAUCUGGAGGAGGGAGCCUUGGCUGGGAGAGUGCUCAUAGGUGCCGUCACAGGCCUAGUGAUUGAGGGCUUCUUAGGAGUAUUUUACAGGAAGGACCAGCUGGCGGCGGCGGGAGUGCAGGCUUAGACCUGUGUUACUAGGUUGUCCCCUUGCCAGUGCUAUCCCAAAGUUGGAGAUGAGAAGUGGGGAGCAAGGCGUGGGGAAUGGCCCUAGAGUGCCCCACUUCAGAAUGGGUGGAGGAGAGAGCUUUGGAGUUGGAGACCAGUGAACACGGUGGCCUGGAACAGGCCCCUUCACCUCUCUGGCUUUGGUGUCCCCACUUGCAAAAUGGGGAUACGGAUGUGCUCUGAGGUGUAGUGUAAAAAGAAUGAGAGGCCAGCUUAGCCAGUGCUCCAAAAACAUGCAGGUGCUGUUCUGUCCUGUAAAAUCUUGCUUUUACCGAAUCAGAAUGGCAGCCAGUCUGAAUAACGGCAUAGACAUAAAUGCUCCUUUAUUCUUUUUCUGAACAGUCUCUCAAACUAUUUGCUAAAGUAAAAAUGUUUGGGGAAUCAGCUUUACAAGUAAAGAGGAUAAUCACAGUGUAUCAUUUUGCAUCCUGUUCCAGCAGUACCUUGAGAUGCUUAAAAAUAGUUUAUUCUUUUUGAGCUAAGUUUGUUAACAUUAGUUAUCUGUUUACCACAUCUUUUUAUAUCAUGCAGAGAUAAACCAUGGCUUGUUUUUUGUUUAAAAAUUCCAAAUGGGUCCUCCAAAUAUUUUUGAGUUUUUUUUUUUUUUUUUUAAACGUCUUUACUGGUGUCUCAGAAAGGGCGGUUCUUCUCUCUAGAAGAGUCCGGAGUCCUCCAUGCCCUUCUGCCCUGCUCCACACUGUCCAUUCUGUUUGCCUGUGGGCCUGAGCUGCCAAGUGCAGCUGGAGCAUAUUGCAUAACCGUGCUGCCUGGAGCUCUCCGUUUAUGGUUCUGGAUGCAACGUUCAAGGUGACGUUUUUAAAAACCAAGUUCCUCAAGCCCUCAGCCCCAUCCCCGCACUGCUCUUAGCCCUGGCUGCUUGCUCGGCACCUCCACCACUACAGUGGGGAGGCCAGUCUGGCUAAAAGCCUUCCUCCUUUGGUCCCAGUCACACCUGUGCUUUGCAGUGUCUGGUGCUCUUCAUGGAAUUCCGUCGACAUCACUGCCGCCUCCAUUUCCCUUUCUGGCUCUCUGCUCUGCCCCCGCCCCUCCCGUUCUCCUAACUCUGAGUCUUCUUCCCGCUCCAUCCUUGGCUUUUUUCUUGCUGGACGGUUUUAGCUGCACCUGCGGCCUCAACCACCGGCUAUAUUUACCUUGAGGGCUUCCAGAUGUCUGUCUCUCGUGGUGAAUUUCCCCCCAAGCUCCAGAUCAUUUUCCGAAACAGCUGGCUAUUCAUCUGUCUAGAUUUCCCAUAUAGCGUGAUGGUUAAAAGUGUUGAGCUGGGUUUGAAGCUUAACUGUGUAAUCUAGUUGUGCCACCAGAAAAGUCCCUCCACUUCUCCAAGCAUCGUCUGUACAAUGGCGACGAUUCCUGUGGAGAUGGAGAGUGGGAAACACCCAGCGUGGCGUUCGGCGUAGAGUCCAGCUCCUCUCCUCUUGCUGAGUUGGUCCUGACCGCCUGCCCCGACCCCGGCCAACCUGUGGUGACCCGCUUCUUCAUCUGGAAUUCAUCCUCUGUUCUCCAUCUUACUUCCCUGCUUCAGCCCAUCAUCUCCUGCCUAAACUUUUCGUCUCUUCCAUUCCUGCCAGCGUUUUCCCUCUAAAACACAUCUUUGAAGAGAUCACUUCUAAGGGGCCUCCAAGGCGUCCCUUGCCAAAGCCCCAUGUUCCAUGAAGUUUCUUUCACCAUCUUGCCCCCGCCUCCCUCCCUUUGUCCCCAGGAUGGAGCCACUUUUUUGCCAUUUCCUGAACACGUCCUGCUUGUCCAGAUCUUGACGCCUCCUUGGCUGCACCGGGCCUCCUUAGCUGUCUGGGGAGCUCCACUGCACUAUGAGCCGUGGCGUGUGAGGGUCCACACCCCUCCCUGAGCUAAGACAGCCGUUCCUCUGCCUCUAGCCCUGUGUUUGCUCUCCCACUGCAGCAUCUCACAUGGCACGGACUCUGUGGCCAUAGGGAUGGGCCCCAGACUGAGUUCCUUGAGGGCAGGGACCCUGCCUUACUCAACUCUGUCCCUCGCACAGGGCGUCAAUAAAUGUUGAAUGAAG
rnacentral:lncRNA from 9 species